CAGCAGCCGCGGUAAUACGUAGGGUGCAAGCGUUAAUCGGAAUUACUGGGCGUAAAGCGUGCGCAGGCGGUUUGUUAAGACAGAUGUGAAAUCCCCGGGCUCAACCUGGGAACUGCAUUUGUGACUGGCAAGCUAGAGUGUGGCAGAGGGGGGUGGAAUUCCGCGUGUAGCAGUGAAAUGCGUAGAUAUGCGGAGGAACACCGAUGGCGAAGGCAGCCCCCUGGGCCAACACUGACGCUGAGGCGCGAAAGCGUGGGGAGCAAACAGGAUUAGAUACCCGAGUAGUCCCUGUCUCUUAUAC
rnacentral:rRNA from 1 species